GCACAAGCGGUGGAGCAUGUGGUUAAUUCGAUGCGACGCGAAGAACCUUACCUGGGCUUGACAUCCCGAGGAUCCCCUGGAAACAGGGAGUGCCCUUCGGGGAGCUCGGAGACAGGUGCUGCAUGGCUGUCGUCAGCUCGUGUCGUGAGAUGUUGGGUUAAGUCCCGCAACGAGCGCAACCCUUGUCUUUAAUUGCCAUCAUUGAGUUGGGCACUUUAAAGAGACUGCCGGUGUUAAACCGGAGGAAGGCGGGAUGACGUCAAGUCAGCAUGGCCUUUAUGUCCAGGGCUACACACGUGCUACAAUGGGCGGUACAGAGGGAAGCAAAGCCGCGAGGUGGAGCUAAUCCUUAAAGCCGUCCUCAGUUCGGAUCGCAGGCUGCAACUCGCCUGCGUGAAGUCGGAAUCGCUAGUAAUCGCGGAUCAGCUACGCCGCGGUGAAUACGUUCUCGGGCCUU
rnacentral:rRNA from 1 species